rnacentral:rRNA from 1 species
UACGUAGGGUGCAAGCGUUGUCCGGAAUUAUUGGGCGUAAAGAGCUCGUAGGCGGUUUGUCGCGUCUGCCGUGAAAGUCCGGGGCUCAACUCCGGAUCUGCGGUGGGUACGGGCAGACUAGAGUGAUGUAGGGGAGACUGGAAUUCCUGGUGUAGCGGUGAAAUGCGCAGAUAUCGGGAGGAACACCAGUGGCGAAGGCGGGUCUCUGGGCAGUAACUGACGCUGAGGAGCGAAAGCGUGGGGAGCGAACAGG